rnacentral:rRNA from 1 species
GAUGAACGCUGGCGGCGUGCCUAAUACAUGCAAGUAGAACGCUGAAGGAAGGAGCUUGCUCUUUCCGGAUGAGUUGCGAACGGGUGAGUAACGCGUAGGUAACCUGCCUGGUAGCGGGGGAUAACUAUUGGAUACGAUAGCUAAUACCGCAUAACAGUAGAUAUUGCAUGAUAUCUGCUUGAAAAGGGCAAUUGCUCCACUACCAGAUGGACCUGCGUUGUAUUAGCUAGUUGGUGAGGUAACGGCUCACCAAGGCGACGAUACAUAGCCGACCUGAGAGGGUGAUCGGCCACACUGGGACUGAGACACGGCCCAGACUCCUACGGGAGGCAGCAGUAGGGAAUCUUCGGCAAUGGACGGAAGUCUGACCGAGCAACGCCGCGGGAGUGAAGAAGGGUUUCGGAUCGUAAAGCUCUGUUGUAAGAGAAGAACGAGUGUGAGAGUGGAAAGUUCACACUGUGACGGUAUCUUACCAGAAAGGGACGGCUAACUACGUG